AGUUAAAUGAAUGAGAUAGAAAAAUGUUUUUCUCUUUUUUUUUAUUGCUUUACAAUAUAGGCAGUCUCAAACUUGCAUAUAUCUGAGGUUAGUCCCUUAUAUAUGAAUGACUAAACUGCACAGCUGCUACAGAAAUCCCUCUUGCCAUUGCAGGUCUAUCUUGUCAAAACAGGAGCAAGUAGAACUUCUAGUUCUAUUGGUCCUAGGGCAGGGCCUAAUGGAGUUGACCAUAAAUAUGUUCUGAUUCUAUUGAUAUGGCCAUGUGAAUUGGCUCUACUUGAGGGACAGCCACCUCAUUUUACUGAGGUUGCACAGAAAAACCCUGAUUGGUCCUCAUGUGAUCCUGGGACUGAAGGGUUGUGUUGAAGAUGAAUGCUAACUAAAUCAAGCAGAGAAGACUUUUCAGGAGGCUCUAAGAUCUGUAGAAAAAUCGCAUCCCCUCUUUUUGAGCUUCUUAGUAUAAGGGCAGAUUCCUACACUAGCUUUUCCUUGGACUAUCAAUGUCAUCUGCAACUUAAGUACAUGCCAGCAAGAAUAUGUGCUUGCCUAGUUGAGGUCUCUUGUCUGUUUCCCUAAUUUGAGUUCACUAAGUGACCAUCCUGAGAAUGAGUUUUUUCCACAUUAAUAAAAUAAUGGAGAAUUUGGAAGUUCCUGAGUUAAUUAGUGCUGACUUCUCCUUGGUAUGUGCUUCUUAAAAAUGACACACAUUUUUGAAGGAGAAGAUCCCUGUCAGGAUCAUUCCUAGCCUGAAAGGACUAAAGAGCCAUGUAUGGCUAGCUAGGAGUUAGUUUUUAUGAGUUGCUCAGACAAUACAGGUCUGAGAUGAAUGUGAAAUAUUAUUUGGCAGUCCUACAAAUGUUUUUCAACUUCCUGGCAAAGCAUAAAGAUAAACAUGAUGGGUAAUUGUGUUUUAAAUAUUUGUUGAUGUGUGCUGAGUCUUUUGUGUUGCAAGAAUUUCCUUUGUGGUGGGGGAAAUGAAUAGUACUCUAAGAUUUGAAAUCUACUUUUAACACAGUACUUUUUUUGAGAAGGGACCCUUUAGGGAAGACUUUAGAUAUACUUAAGUUCUGUUUUAGAGAUUUUCUAGGUAUUCUAUUCUGGAGAAUAAGUUGGAGAAUGUGAAAAAAACUUUGGACAUAUUUGAGAUCAGAUUCACGUCCUUUUCCACUCAAGAUUAAUCAGGGGUCUAUCAAAGCCAGAGGCCCUUCUGGGAAGGAGAUACUACUUCAGCUGCAAGGGACACUGUUUAAAGCUGGAUUCAAUACAUUUCAAAUAUUGGAGUGGAUGGCUUGUCUCUUGGAAUAACUGAAUUUUUCAAGAUUUAGCUCAAGCUCCAUCUUCCUCAAGGUAUGCAUCUGGAAGAUGGAGGACUAUAGUAUAUAUAGAUUCAUGAGCAAACCUCUUCAAUUCAUCUAGGAAUGUCGUCUCUAGAAAAAAUCCAUAAGGAGACUACUGAUACCUAAUGGGAGGAACAGAGAAAUGAGAACUGAAAUAUUACCUUUAAAAUUAACUCAUUAAAUUCAUGUUAAAAUUUAAUAA